rnacentral:rRNA from 1 species
CCUACGGGCGUCAGCAGUGGGGAAUAUUGCACAAUGGGGGAAACCCUGAUGCAGCGACGCCGCGUGCUUGAAGAAGUAUUUCGGUACGUAAAGCUCUAUCAGCAGGGAAGAAAAUGACGGUACCUGACUAAGAAGCCCCUUCUAACUACGUGCCAGCAGCCGCGGUAAUACGUAGGGGGCAAGCGUUAUCCGGAUUUACUGGGUGUAAAAGGGGCGUAGACGGCAGCUCGAGUCUGGAGUGAAAUCCCAUGGCUGAACCAUGGAACUGUUUUUGAAACUGUGCAGCUGGAGUGCAGGAGAGGUAAGCGGAAUUCCUAGUGUAGAGGUGAAAUGCGUAGAUAUUAGGAGGAACACCAGUGGCGAAGGCGGCUUACUGGACUGUAACUGACGUUGAUGCUCGAAAGCGUGGGGAGCAAACAGGAUUAGAUACCCGGGUAGUC